CGUGCACAAGCUUUGAUCCAAGCAAGGCAUUUCUUAUCAGAUUUUGGAAAUCUGUGAAUUUUAGUUCCACAAAUACUAUCAGGAUACCUGACAUCGCCUGUACAGAUACCCCACCUACAGUGGAGAACUAUUCUUUUUCGAGUCCUGACACAAAAACUUUCUGCCGGUCUGCUAGUCCACAAUGUACAUUAGCAUGUGUUUACUACUGUAGCUUGUGUUUGUGAGACGGUCACGUAUGUGGUAGCUGCGCUGUGACGUGAAAUGGGCAUUAGCCAAUUAAACGCGGCCCCUAUGGUAAGGUCCAUAGACAUUGUAGAUUCACACUGAAAGCAUCAAAGCUAUGAAUUAACACGUGGAAAUAUGUACUAAACAAAAAAGUGUAAAACAACUGAAAAUAGUCCUUAUAUUCUAGUUUCUUCAAAGUAGCAAUCUUUUGCUGUGAUUACUGCUUUGCACAUUCUCUUGAUGAGUUUCAAGAGGUAGUCACCUGAAAUGGUUUUCACUUCACAGGUGUGCCCUGUCAGGUUAAUAAGUGGGAUUUCUUGCCUUAUAAAUGGGGUUGGGACCAUCAGUUGUGUUGUGCAGAAGUCAGGUGGACACACAGCUGAUAGUCCUACUGAAUAGAGUGUUAGAAUUUGUAUUAUGGCAAGACAAAAGCAGCUAAGUAAAGAAAAACGAGUGGCCAUCAUUACUUUAAGAAAUGAAGGUCAGUCAGUCC